GCUUAAUUUGAGUUGAGUAUCUGACUUUGUAUCUCCGCAUAGCCACCUCCUUGGAGCUUCCUUCACUGAUUUGGUUACGGAGACACUGCUGGCUCACCGCAGGUUCAUAUUGCAGGACAAGACCAGUAGCCGAAAGCAAUUGACAUUAUCUCGACAUCUACAAUAUUUGGAGCAGCUGACCUCCUAUCAAGAAGUAUUUGCAUGAAGGAGCUUGUGUAACGUUGAAGGUUACCAAAGGAUCACAAUCUACCCAAGGUGGGAUGUCUUAGAGGUGGCAUGAUGGUUGAUCAUGUAAGCAACAAGGGGAUCAGCGCUCAUGGACACUUAUUUUGGGCAGUGCUUAUGGGCAUUUUUAUUUUGGGUAGUGCUCAUUUGGAAUAUCUAGGCUGGCUUCUAUUAUUUCGUAAAUGUGGGCAUGUGGCUGCUGCUUGUAAUGUGGUCUGUGACAAACCCAACAGACUAUCUAGCUAGCUUGACUUGAGCACUGCGACAUCACAAAUGAUGUCUAUGAUGAAGCUUUGCCAACCAAUUAUGUAUUGUUGAAUAUAUGUAGGAUUCAUAUGAAAACUAUGAGCUCUAUUUUAGUCAAUACUAUGUUUGAUAUCUGUUGGAUUCAAAUGAAAAACAUGAUCUAUAUAUCUUUAGCCAAGUGUGCUUGAUA